rnacentral:RNase_P_RNA from 1 species
ACAGGUCGCCGGACGGUCGCGGCAGCGGGAACGCUGACGAGGAACGUCCGGGCUCCGCAGAGCACAGCGGUGGGUAACACCCACCCGGGGCGACCCGCGGGCACGUGCAACAGAGAGCAGACCGCCUGCCUGCCUGGUGCAGGCCGGUAAGGGUGAAACGGUGGUGUAAGAGACCACCAGGGUUCCGGGUGACCGGAAUCGCUGGGUAAACCCCGCUGGGAGCAAGAUCAGACAGACAGCGUCCGAGGGCUGCUCGCCCGAGCUGUCGGGUGGAUCGCUCGAGGCCGUCGGUGACGGCGGCCCUAGACAGAUGACCGUCGAACGGUGUCCGGGCAACCGGCCCGUGGACAGAACCCGGCGUACAGGCGGCCUGUCCUC